rnacentral:rRNA from 1 species
GACGAACGCUGGCGGCGUGCCUAAUACAUGCAAGUAGAACGCUGAAGGAGGAGCUUGCUUCUCUGGAUGAGUGGCGAACGGGUGAGUAACGCGUAGGUAACCUGCCUGGUAGCGGGGGAUAACUAUUGGAAACGAUAGCUAAUACCGCAUAACAGUAGAUAUCGCAUGAUAUCUACUUGAAAGGUGCAAUUGCAUCACUACCAGAUGGAGCUGCGUUGUAUUAGCUAGUUGGUGAGGUAACGGCUCACCAAGGCGACGAUACAUAGCCGACCUGUGAGGGUGAUCGGCCACACUGGAACUGAACCACGGCCCAGACUCCUACGGGAGGCAGCAGUAGGGAAUCUUCGGCAAAGGACGGAAGUCUGACCGAGCAACGCCGCGUGAGUGAAGAAGGUUUUCGGAUCGUAAAGCUCUGUUGUAAGAGAAGAACGAGUGUGAGAGUGGAAAGUUCACACUGUGACGGUAUCUUACCAGAAAGGGACGGCUAACUACGU